UAGGGAAUCUUCCGCAAUGGACGAAAGUCUGACGGAGCAACGCCGCGUGAGUGAAGAAGGAUUUCGGUUCGUAAAACUCUGUUGUUAGGGAAGAAAAAAUGUAUAGUAACUAUAUACAAAAGAGACGGUACCUAACCAGAAAGCCACGGCUAACUACGUGCCAGCAGCCGCGGUAAUACGUAGGUGGCAAGCGUUGUCCGGAAUUAUUGGGCGUAAAGCGCGCGCAGGUGGUUUAGUAAGUCUGAUGUGAAAGCCCGCGGCUCAACCGUGGAGGGUCAUUGGAAACUAAUAAACUUGAGUGCAGGAGAGAAAAGUGGAAUUCCUAGUGUAGCGGUGAAAUGCGUAGAGAUUAGGAGGAACACCGGUGGCGAAAGCGGCUUUUUGGCCUGCAACUGACACUGAGGCACGAAAGCGUGGGGAGCAAACGGG
rnacentral:rRNA from 1 species